UGAGCCACCCAGGUGCCCCCAAAAUGGAUGAGUUCUUUAUGAGGAGCGUCAGACUCUUGAUUUUGGUUCAGGUCGUAAUCCCAGGGUCGUGGGAUUGAGCCCCAAAUCAUGCUCCAGGAUGUGUCGAGCCUACUUAAGACUCACCUCUCUGUCUUUCUCAAAAUUAAUAAACUUAAAGAGGAGUUCUUUGUGAGUUGGUAUGAAAACGUCACCAAGAUACGAAAGCCAAGGUACAGGGGAAUGUGUGUGAUAUGCUUCCAUCUGUGUGAGAAAGGCAUUAACAUUCUUUGGAAGGAUAAACAAAAAUUUGAGAACCACGAAUAUGUUUUGGGUGAGAAGUAGACUUUUCCCAUUUCAGUUUUUUUCUAUACUUUUUUGGUGCUUACCUAUUCAAAACAUUUCACUAAAAUCAGUCGCCGGCAGUGGAAACUGAGGACAGCUGGAUUUCCAGCUUCUCUUCAAAAACUGGAAUAUCUAGGGGCGCCUGGGUGGCUCCGUCGGUUAAGCGUCCCACUGAGCCCGUGUCGGCUCAGGUCAUGAUCUCAGGGUUUUGUGAGUUCGAGCCCUGCAUCGGACUCCAUGCUGACAGUGCAGAAUCUGCUUGGGAUUCUGUCUCCCUCGCUCUCUGCCCCUCCCCCACUCACUGUCUCUCAAAUUAAAAAAUAAAAAAUUAAAAAACCCUGGAAUGUCUGGCAAUUCCGGGCUCACACUGUUGCUGAAAACAAUGAGCUACAGCUGAGUCGCUUUAGAGGGGCUCGUGCUCUCCAGGUUUCCCUUGUAGCCAUUAUUGUUUCGCCAAUUUAUUUGAUCUGCCUGGCCCCCUGUGGGCAAUUUGCAUGUGAGAGCCUGAGAACCCUGGAGAAUUUACUCCAAGGGUGUGGGGGGAGGGUCCUCAGCUGGGGAGAAGCAUCAGCUGAGUGCCCAUUGCAGUGCAAGCAACUGGCCUGCCAGCAACCAUCUCUGUGCCCCAGUUCCGAAUCCCCUGGGGCCAGAGGGUGUGGUCUUACUCUAGAAGUGUGUGCUUUCCACGGCCCUCCUUUUGGAAGUGACUGACACCAACUCGGACGAAGACACUGUAAGAAAACUGUAGACCAAUAUCCCUCACGAACGUAGACGCAGAAUUUCUCACCAAAAUAUCAGCAGACUGAAUCCAGCAACCUAUAACAUGGCUGAUACAUGGCCGAGUGGGAUCUCUCCUAGGAAUGCAAGGUCGGUUUAACACCUGAAAGUCUAUCAGUGUAACACCCUGUGUUAAUACAGGUCAGAACCCACACGAUCAUCUCCGUAGGUGUGGAACAAGGCAUCUGCCAAAAUCUAACAGCCACUCACGAUAAAAACCUCUCCUUCUUGGGGUGUGACGAGUUCUCAGAGAGCAGGGUUACAGGCUGGGUAGACACCCCCAAAGGCGUCUACUGAUAGGAUCACCAGCUCCCUGGAGAUGCUUUGUCGACCCAGGCAGCUGGAGGCACCGGGGCAUCUUCCUCCCCAUCUUAGAGCAAAAUCCCACUUAAGCUUUUUUUCUUCCCCUUCCGCAGAAAGUUUUAUUGUUUCCAGUUGGCCCACGGCUUGAGGGAGGGCUAUAAAAACCGGGUGAAAAGCGGCCUGGUGAGAGCGUUCGGUUGGCUCGGUAGAGUAUGAGACUCAACUCUUGAUCUUGGGGUCUUGAGUUCAAGCCCCGUGUUGGGUGUAGAGCUUACUUAAAAACAACAACAAGCUGCCUCGUGGUGGGGGAGGAGAGAGAUUCAGGCAGAGAAGCUCUGAUACCAGGAGGUGGCAGAGGGGCCCUCAAAGGCCGCUGGGCUCUGGGAGGCUCCUAGACGUGCUUGACCCACUCUGUCUUCCGGUCAAGAGCACAACCGUCUUGGGGUUCAAAGCGAUUCUGACUCUGGACAGCUUUCACAGAAUCUCUGUGAGUCCCGUGGGAUCCCUGUGGCCUCCAAAGCAUCCAAGUUCUUAUCAGCGACCGUCAGCUGCCCGCACUUCAGCCUUGCAGGCGGAGAACAAAGCCCUGAGGCCCGCGUCUGCCUUCCUGGCCGGGACUCGUGGCCAGCGCGCUUUCCCGGCUGCACGUGGGGCUGAGUCCGAGGAAGGCCGCAAGGAGAGGACCGCAGUGGACAGGGCGUUGGGCGGGACAGGCCUCUGGCCCCACCGCAGGGCCACGCGGGCCGGGCCAGGCUGGUGGUGGGCCCUCCCACGGGAAGGACUUGCUCGCGGGUUUCCCCGGGGCCACUCUGCUGGCCAGGGAGCGCGGCGUUCCGUCCCCACCGCUCUUCUGGGGAGCCAGGCCCGAGGCGGAGGAGAGGGAGCAGACCCGGAGGAGCGCCCGGAGAACGAGAUUAGCAACUGAGGUGAAGCACCUGACCCAAGGGUGAUCAGUUUGUCGGUGACAGAGCCGGGUCUCAAGGUCAUCUUCAGAUCUAGGAUGCAGCCCUCCUCCCAUUACCCAUUUGGACCAAGGUCUGAUCUCUGAUAUUGAAGGUAAUAAACAAGAGCAUGUCAAAUACAUACAUCUCCAAACGCCAAAACUUCAAAACUCAAGACUGAAAUGGCCUUAUACAAGCUCAACUAAACUAGCUCAAGAGAUGAAACUGUGAUUAAGAAUACGCACAUAUGUCAGGUCAGAUGGCCCCGUGAGAUCCAGAGAACUGAAACAAGAACUUAGUUCUGAGACCACUUGCUCUAAAGUGCUCUUACCAUCACCACGAAUGCCAACUCACUAAACAGUCACGCUGGAAGGAUAUCUAAAUCGUAAUAAUAACUUGCAAAACGGAAACCAGCUUUUCAAAAACAGACGUAUCCUGUGUCUCUCUUUUACCACCUUCCAAUCAUCAAUACUCGAACCAUGCUACUCCAAAAACUGCUUGGGAAAGAAGAGGCUUUGGUGAUCCUUUUUCUUUUUCUGGAGAACAGGGUUAGGCAGGAGGCUGGUCUGCUUUCAACUACCUCUUAGGCUCUUUUUGGCAAAUUAAGUUCCAUUCAUUUUUGUUACAAAAGCAACCGGGAAAUAAAAACCUACAUCCACGUAAAAACCUGUACACGAAAUGUUCUCACAGUAAUUAUUAACACCCAAGGAGAAACAACCCAAAUCUCCAUUAACUGUUAAAUGGAUAAAUAAAAUGUGGUAUAUUCAUAUAAUGAAAUGAUUGAGCCAUAAAAAAGUACUGAUAUAUGCUCCAACACAGAUGAAACCUGAAAACA